ACUUGGUCACAGUGAGUGAAGGAACAUGGCUCUGAAUCAUGCCUGUCUGUCUCCCCAGGUCUGUGCUUAAAACCACGAAGUUCAAGAUGGAAACUGAAGGGAAGAGUGUCAAGGGGAUGGGAGAGAGGACUUGUCCAUGACUUUGGCAGCAUAAGGAAAAAAUACCCAGGGACAAGUGGCGACUUUGGAAACUCCAUUCCUCUGCAAAAUGACAUCACGAGGAGAGUGGUGGGGCCUGCGGAUGAAAAGAUCUGGCUUCUCCUCCCAACUCUGCUAUGAGGAAGCGCUGGAUGGCCCUGUCGGCCGCGGUCAUCGCCGCCUCGGCCCGGGAGCUCAGCAUUGCAGCCGCACCGGAGGCCUGAAACCGUCUCCUCCGCUACCGCCGCCGCCGCCGCCGGACCGAGGGAUACGACGGUUCCCGAGACAGCGGAACCUGCGGCCGCAGUCCCAGCACCUCGGGGGAACGUAGACCGCAGGACAGCUCCCAGGGGGACCGGAAGUAGCUGCCCCCGGAGAGCAAUAGCUGACGGACCACGUCCUUUCUUUCUUUUCCCUUAGCAACAGGCCCCGGCGUCGGUUGCUACGCUGGGCUCAGUUGCCUGGGGCUGCUUGGUUUUCAGAUUUGCUUAGGCUCCAUUCAUAAAUACAGAUGGCACACUUCUAGGAUGGACCCUGGGUCAUGAUUUGAAUUUUUCGAUGUGGGGAAGGGAGGCCAACAGCCGAAAGUCGGGUCAGGCCUCUGCUAUAAUUAGUUAUUAUUGUGGCCAGAGUGGAAAUAGGUCGCAGAGGAAGGAACUUUAAUGAGCAUGAGGCCCAUCUCUGACGAUAUCAGUAGAGAAAUCAACGUCUUUAAUAGCCAACAAACUUAUUGUUUACUUGGGUGCCAGGUAUAGAGCUAAGUAUGUUACAUUCAUUAUUUACAUUUAAUAUUCACACCAACUCUAACAUUACCCACAUUUUACAUCCCAGGGAACCCAG